rnacentral:rRNA from 1 species
AGCGGCAGCGACUACAUUGACCCUUCGGGUGAUUUGUUGGGCGGCGAGCGGCGGACGGGUGAGUAAUGCCUGGGAACAUGCCUUAGUGUGGGGGAUAACCAUUGGAAACGAUGGCUAAUACCGCAUAAUCUCUACGGAGCAAAGCGGGGGACCUUCGGGCCUCGCGCGCUAAGAUUGGCCCAGGUGGGAUUAGCUAGUAGGUGGGGUAACGGCUCACCUAGGCGACGAUCCCUAGCUGGUCUGAGAGGAUGAUCAGCCACACUGGAACUGAGGCACGGUCCAGACUCCUACGGGAGGCAGCAGUGGGGAAUACUGCACAAUGGGGGACACCCUGAUGCAGCCAUGCCGCGUGUGUGAAGAAGGCCUUCGGGUUGUAAAACACUUUCAGCAGUGAGGAAGGGAUGUGUGUUAACAGCACGCAUUCUUGACGUUAGCUGCAGAAGAAGCACCGGCUAACUCCGUGCCAGCAGCCGCGGUAAUACGGAGGGUGCGAGCGUUAAUCGGAAUUACUGGGCGUAAAGCGCAUGCAGGCGGCGUGUUAAGCCAGAUGUGAAAGCCCGGGGCUCAACCUCGGAAUCACAUUCGGAACUGGCAGGCUAGAGUCUUGUAGAGGGGGGUAGAAUUUCAGGUGUAGCGGUGAAAUGCGUAGAGAUCUGAAGGAAUACCGGUGGCGAAGGCGGCCCCCUGGACAAAGACUGAC